rnacentral:sRNA from 1 species
GGAUGUGAGGAUGAUCCGGCUGCCAUGUCUCACCCCGUUGAUUACCAGCGUGGAUUCACCUGAUCUGAUUAUCAAGGCAGGUGUCCCCUUCCUCCCUCAGUGCUCCAGAUGUGUCCUUCCCAGAGCUGCGUACUCAGUGGAAGGGGAUGCUCCCCAGUAGAGGAAAGGGUGUAGGAGAGAGGGUGCCCUCCUUGCUCAAACCUCCACACAAGCUUCCCAAUGCUGCAGUGAUGGGAAGCGCUACAGCUCUCGUACGUUUGGGUCAUGGGCAGAAUGUUAUGUGUAUACAUGUAUUGCCUGCAUGUAUAGCCAUGUCAU